rnacentral:rRNA from 1 species
AGUAACGAUAAAGCGGGUGAAAAGCCCGCUCGCCGGAAGACCAAGGGUUCCUGUCCAACGUUAAUCGGGGCAGGGUGAGUCGACCCCUAAGGCGAGGCCGAAAGGCGUAGUCGAUGGGAAACAGGUUAAUAUUCCUGUACUUGGUGUUACUGCGAAGGGGGGACGGAGAAGGCUAUGUUGGCCGGGCGACGGUUGUCCCGGUUUAAGCGUGUAGGCUGGUUUUCCAGGCAAAUCCGGAAAAUCAAGGCUGAGGCGUGAUGACGAGGCACUACGGUGCUGAAGCAACAAAUGCCCUGCUUCCAGGAAAAGCCUCUAAGCAUCAGGUAACAUCAAAUCGUACCCCAAACCGACACAGGUGGUCAGGUAGAGAAUACCAAGGCGCUUGAGAGAACUCGGGUGAAGGAACUAGGCAAAAUGGUGC